GACUCGGUGGCGGAUGGCCCGCACUUGCUAUGUAAGUCUAUCAAAGCAUCCAGUGCUGCACUGCAGAAGACGCCUGUUCGAUUCAGGCCCGAGUCA